GAUGAAGAACGCAGUGAAAUGCGAUACUUGGUGUGAAUUGCAGAAUCCCGUGAACCAUCGAGUCUUUGAACGCAAGUUGCGCCCGAAGCCAUUAGGCCGAGGGCACGCCUGCCUGGGCGUCACACGUCGUUGCCCCCCCAUCUACUCCUUCGGGAUUGCGGGGGGCGGAUGAUGGCCUCCCGUGCGCCUCGUCGCGCGGUUGGCAUAAAUGCCAAGUCCUCGGCGACGCACGCCACGACAAUCGGUGGUUGCGAAACCUCGGUUGCCCGUCGUGUGCGGUCGUCGCGCAUCGAGGGCUCGAAAAAAGUGUCGGGCUCCGGCUCGGCUUUCAACGCGACCCCAGGUCAGGCGGGGUUACCUGCUGAAUUUAAGCAUAUCAAUAAGCGGAGGA
rnacentral:misc_RNA from 1 species